GCACAUGCAAGUCGAGCGGAUGACGGGAGCUUGCUCCCUUGAUUCAGCGGCGGACGGGUGAGUAAUGCCUAGGAAUCUGCCUGGUAGUGGGGGACAACGUUUCGAAAGGAACGCUAAUACCGCAUACGUCCUACGGUGAGAAAGCAGGGGACCUUCGGGCCUUGCGCUAUCAGAUGAGCCUAGGUCGGAUUAGCUAGUGGGUGGGGUAAUGGCUCACCAAGGCGACGAUCCGUAACUGGUCUGAGAGGAUGAUCAGUCACACUGGAACUGAGACACGGUCCAGACUCCUACGGGAGGCAGCAGUGGGGAAUAUUGGACAAUGGGCGAAAGCCUGAUCCAGCCAUGCCGCGUGUGUGAAGAAGGUCUUCGGAUGGUAAAGCACUUGAAGUUGGGAGGAAGGGCAGUAAGUGAAUCCUUGCUGUUUUGACGUUACCGACAGAAUUAGCACCG
rnacentral:rRNA from 1 species